ACAGAACAGCGCACAUUCUUUAUUCUGCGGUUCUUUUAACUUUCGAAGGCAGUAUACCUCAACUUUUUUCUGGAAACAAUUAAAUCGUUUAUAAUGCAUCCGUGUAAAUACAUCAUAGUUUCAGAGGAAGAAGAAGGUUAUCCUUUAGAUGCUUUUUGCAUUCCUAGUCAUUAUGAAGCAUAUCUUGAAAGAGUUCUGGUACCAUGCGGACUAAUUAUGGACAGAAUUGAAAGACUUUCAAGAGAUAUUGCUCAAGAUUAUGUCAAUCAACCCUUCACUGCCCUAUGUGUUCUAAAAGGAGGCUACAAGUUUUGUGCUGAUUUAUUAGACAAAAUAAAGCAGAAUGUAAGAAACUCUGAAAAUCCAACUGGUGUAAUAUCUGUCGAUUUCAUCCGUUUGAAAAGUUAUGUGAAUGAAGAAUCCACUGGAAAGCUUAAAGUUAUGGGAAUCGACAAUCUCUCAACAUUAGCAGGAAGGAAUCUAUUAAUUGUUGAAGAUAUCAUUGAUACUGGUUUUACUAUGUCAAAUUUGCUAGUAUUACUUAAAGAGUUCAAACCAAAAUCUGUGCGAGUUGUAAGUUUGUUUGUCAAAAGGAGUCCCAAUAGCAAUGGUUAUAAACCAGAUUAUAUUGGAUUUGAAGUUCCAAACAAAUUCAUAGUUGGAUAUGCCCUUGACUACAAUGAAUAUUUCCGAGAUCUGAAUCAUGUUUGUAUUAUAAAUGAGAAAGGCAAAGUUAAAUAUGGAAAAAAAUGAAGCUGAAAUAUUUUUUAGUGGGAAGAUAUGAAUCUCAGUUUGCAACUGUGAUGUUUUAUGAAUGUAGGGCAAAGGAAGGAAAACAUUAUCAUUGGUAAUGUAAGUCAGGGAAAUUUGGUGAACUUAAUCAGGGAAAAGCCAGGAAACUUUUUUCCAGUUCCUGUCGCCACCCUGUAUAACUUAAUAAUAAAUAGGUAUAUCCUGUGAUAAACAUUUUUAAGAGUCAAAAGAAACUUCUGAUUUAUUUUCCUAUUUUGGUGCAUUGAGUGAUAAUUUGUAUCAUAUAAUUAUGAAUUAAAAUAAGCUGCAUGCAUUUUUUUGAGGCUUCAUGUUGAUUAUUUUCAUUUGUGGGUUUCAACAUAUACUUGGUUCUUAGUUAUUUAGAUAGAAACUUCAAUGUUCUUUAAAGUAGACGUCUUCUUCUAUUCCUUACAGUUGUAAAAAUAAGUUGGAAUCGAAAGAGCAUUGGAAAGCAGGUUUCUGGAGGCAUAAGUUAUUUGGUCUCGUGUCCCCAUUAUCUAAAUACGUGGUUUUAAAAUCUGCCAAAAUUUAAGAAAUGUUGCCAAAAUUAGCAAGUUUCAGUUAGUAAUGGAAGAGGUCUUUCACAGGACUUGUAGAUGAAUGCAGAUGGUGAAAUUUCGUGAUAAAUUUCUUGCCAAGUCUUCAAAUUUGACCUCUUUUCAAAAAUUUCGGCAGAGUUUAAGACCCUAUAUCUUGAUAACAGGUGGACGAGGACAUUUAAUUUUUGCAUCAAAAAUAUGUCUCAAGAUGCUCUUUCGAUUGUUAUCUAUUUAACAUUUUUUUGUUAUACUAUUUGUGUGUUUUUUUUAGUUUGCUGAUAUCAGGUGGAUUCAGUAAAAGCCACUACGCCUCAAAGGUUUUUUAUCCUUUAAACAACUUUUGGAAUUGCCAUGUAUUUUUUGUCCAAAAAAAAAAAAAAGCUAUAGUGUAUUCAUCGAGAAGUGAAAGGGGAAGUAAACAAAACAAUGACACUUGGCGAUAAGGUUGUUGCUUGGCGCUAGGAUUAUUGAAAACAGCACCAAUCAUAUAAGCGAUUUCAUAAAUGAAAUUGCCAAUCCAAUGAAGAAUUCAUGAAAGUGAUAAAUGUUGGCACCAAACUAACAUCAACCCUUUUGUUUACUUUUGCUAUCACUUCUCCCUGAAUCCACUGUUUGAUGGGCUAAAAUGAAGCCACAUGCCUCAGAGGGUUGGGUAUUUCUAAUAUUGUUUGUUGGAGUCUAAUGUUGUUUCUGUAAUGAAAUUAUUUGAGAGGAAGGAAUAAA